rnacentral:rRNA from 1 species
AACGAACGCUGGCGGCAUGCCUAACACAUGCAAGUCGAACGAGACCUUCGGGUCUAGUGGCGCACGGGUGCGUAACGCGUGGGAACCUGCCCUUAGGUUCGGAAUAACUCCCCGAAAGGGGUGCUAAUACCGGAUAAUGUCUUCGGACCAAAGAUUUAUCGCCUUUGGAUGGGCCCGCGUUGGAUUAGCUAGUUGGUAGGGUAAAAGCCUACCAAGGCGACGAUCCAUAGCUGGUCUGAGAGGAUGAUCAGCCACACUGGGACUGAGACACGGCCCAGACUCCUACGGGAGGCAGCAGUGGGGGAGAUGGGACAGUGGGCGAAGGCAUGAUCGAGCAAUGCCGCGUGAGUGAUGAAGGCAUUGGAGUUGUAAAGCUCUUUUACCCAGGAUGAUAAUGACAGUACCGGAAGAAAAAGCUCCGGCUAACUCCGUG